GAGCAGCUGGUGUGCGGAUGUUCCAAGUGGGGACCGGUGAAUUUGAAAAGGAACAAGAAGCCGAGGGCAAUGGAGCAGGACCGAGCAACUCUACAAAGAGUCACUUGACAAGCAUAGUUUCUCAGCCCUCAUCAAAGAAACAUCUUUCAACAGAUAGAGACCAUUACAGAAAACCACAGUCAACAAGAGAUCGUAUUCUAUCCAGUCCCAACUGACAGAUCUACAGUACAAUUCCUGCAGCUGAGGCUCAGAGAUCACUGUGGGGACAGAAGGACGUAAGAGCCAGAGGAAUCGGAAGUGAAGUGUGUCUCCUAGACAUGUCAGAGGUUACACCCAUGAGAUCUCUUCCCAUGGCUGCCUAAGCAAGACCUGAACAACAAAGAUACCGAUGGACAUGCUAGAGUGGAAGGGGCAAUCCCCUAGGGCUGCAACCCUAGACAAAGAGCUGGGGAGUGAUGAGAAUGAGAGAAAAGAGAACCCACAACUGGUUAUCAGAUACCAAGUGACCAGCCCCAAGAUGAUAUAAGUACAGGUAAUAUUACCUAAACUAAGCAGGUUGCAUUUAUGUAUUUAGAAAUUGUGUGUGUGUGUGUGUGUGUGUGUGUGUGUGUGUGUGUGUGUGUGUGUGUGUGUGUGUGUGUGUGUGUGUGUGUCUGUGUCUGUGUAGAGGUCAUGGAUUUGAGAGCUGGAAGAUUUAUGAGAGAGAGUGGAGGGAAGCUGGGAACUUCAAAAUAAUAUGAAAAAACUUUUAAAAGUAGUUUGGGCAUAGAAAUCAAGACAAGGACUAAACACGCUACCUGGCACUAUUAAGUCGUAGGAAAUCUCUUACAAGGAAAAUCUUAGCAGAGAAAGGCCUCAGGAGAGACCUGGGAGCAGAGCUUCUUUGAGGCCGUGACAUGGAUGUGCGGUGGUCCUCAGGUUCCUGCUCUUUACCCCAUCUUUGAAAAAUUAGCUAGUUAUUGUGUAUGUGUGUGUGUGGGGGUUGUAUGUGUAUGCCAGCAUGUAUGUAUAUGUGCACGUGUGUGUACCCAUAUAAGGGCACACAUGCCACAGAGUAUAAGUGGAGGUCAGAAGACAACUUGGAGGGUUUGCUUGCCUCCUUUUAUCAAGUGGUCCUGGGGCUAAACUCUGGCUCUUAGGGUCAGUGGCGACCUUCACUAUCUGAGCUAUUUUCCUGGCCCUUUGUCCUAUUACCCUCCUUCCCCAGGAUUCCUGAGUGCUAGAAUCCUUUACUGGGAUUAUCUAUAUCUUUUCGUUGUGAGGAUAAUGCAUCUGGCAUGAACGGUCACUUCUUCUGUUUUACUCUAUGGUACUAUUCCUGCCACCAGAACUUUGUCUCCUCUCUCUUCAUGUCCAGCUGAUGAAGUUCUACCAAGGCCCCACUUAAAUCUCAUCUCCUCCAAGGUGUCUCUCCAGGAGACAACUCACCUUUCCUACUGCAGAUGAUCAUUGCUUCUGUGAGAUUGGACAGGGAGCAUUUAUGAUGGGGAGAAUCAAAGCUAGGAGAUUGUGCAUGCUAGGCAAAUGUUCUACUACUAAUGCAUACUCUCAGCCUAACAAGCCAUUUUUAUAAGAAUAUAAUAUAGGCACACAAUUCUAUUGUUCUUAUAACAAAAUUGGCUUAGCCCUGAAUCGCUUGACCCCUUUUCUUCUUCUCAUGCUCCAGGUCCAAACGCUUGAAUCUCUUUAAUGCCACUAUUCUCUGAGAAUUGGUCCAGCAUUCUUAAGUCCCAGCACACUACUCUUUAUAGUUUUAGCCUUUGAGUGUCCUCCAUAACCACUCUGUUUAAUGCUAUUUUCCCUGGGCAUAUAGACAGUCAUUCCUUUUCUUGUACUGUGUCAUUUUGUGGGGUUUGUGCUUGCCACAUCACUUAUCUUGCAAGUUUUAGGAAUAUUUAACUUGUUUGUUAGAAUACUAUCUAGAGAGAAAGUCUAAUUUUUGAUAGUGAAUCCAAAUCCUCUCUUGAACUUAUUUAAUUGCCAGGUUGUAUUUCAAUGCCUGUAAAUAAUAUAUUUAUUAUUAUAGGUGUAAAAAAUAUAUAGUUAUGACAGUUAUAUCUCCUUACUACACUCAACCUUGAUUUUGUGUUAUUGAUCUAUAUAGAUAUAUACCUCCAAAGCAUAGGGAUUGAGUCAUCUCAUCAAUCUUAUUUUCCUUCUUUCCUCGUUAUUACAAGCCAUCAUUAUCUUUAAUUGAUUAAUGGAUUAGAAUGCAUGAGGUAGUAUUUUAACAUUAUUCAUCCCCGCAUUUAAUUAGUACAAAAACUCUGCAAAGUACGUGUGCUGUGAUCUCUCUGACGUGAUGACAAAGUUGAGGUUAUUCAGUCCUUAAUCACUAAGUCACAAUCUGCCAAAAUCCAGGCUCAUAACACUUAGGCUGUUUUAUGACCCUCAGUGAUUUGCAGUGUUCAUCUGCAUUUUUAGAGAUGUUUACCCUGGUUAAAGAAAAAAAGGAAUAAAUCUAUGCUUGAUUGCUUAGAAUAGAAAGCAUAAAAAAUUACACCUGAGUAUGUCUAGGCUACGAAUGGGAAGAUUUCUCUUUCACACUUGCCUAAUUCUGAAAAGAAUGUCAUGCUUGUUGUAUUUAGUGCCAUCUUAGCUCACACUGGUAGUUGAAAAGCAAAGAAAAUUCACAGGAAGUUUCGUUUUACUGGCAGUCUGCAGGAAAGCAAACUGGCAGCUGAAGCCACAACAGGUAUUUCUUAAAGAUGUGUUUGUUCAGUGUUAGGGAUGGAACCCAUGGCUUAUGUGCAGAAGACAAGCACUCUACCAACUGAGCUACAUUCCCAGCUUCCUCUUCAUGAGCUUUGAUGUCUGAGCCAUGCCAGAUCAUGUGAACACAGCCUGGAACGAGGAUGCCUAUGUUGGAGCAUUUCCCUGGAUUCCUAAUACUCCAGGGAGGCACAUCAUAGGGCCUGGUGGACCAAAGCAAAAGAAAUGAUUGGCCUUCACCAACUCCUUUUUUCUAGGAGUUCUACAUCUUAGCUCUGCUUGUGGGGUACCAAGCAGGGAAGCGGCUCAUGCAAAUGUCUGUAGGGGACAGGGUGAGGACAGAAGCUGCCCAACCAAACAGAGGGAGGCUGUGGUACUCAUUGCUCUGUGUUGAAGAAGGGCCGUCUCAGGAAAGAGACAUCAAGAGAAACCCAAAGGCCACAGUGCUCUGACAGAAAACUGUCCUGGUUAUCUAUUAGGUGGGAAGUGUGAUGAGAGAGUGUAGGAUACAAAUAUGAUUAUAACAUAGUAUCACAUAUUGUGGUGGUUUGAGAGAAAUGGCCCCUAAAGGGAGUGGUACUGUUAGGAGGUGUGGCCUUGUUGAAAUAGGUGUCACAGUGGAGACAGGCUUUGAGCUCUCAUACAGGCUCAAGCCACACCCAGUGAGACAGACCACUUCCUGUUACUUGAGCAAGAUGUAGAACUCUCAGCUACCUCUCCAACACCAGGUCUGCUUGCACGAUACCCUGUUCCACUAUGAAGAUUAUGGACUAAACUUCUGAAAAUCUAAGAUACCCGAAUUAAAUGUUUUUCCUUUAUAAGAGAUGCUGUGAUCAUGAUGUCUCUUCACAGCAAUAGAAACCAUAACUAAGACAAAUAUAAUGUUUUCGUAAUCUAUGAUUAGAUUUUGCAAUGAAAAGAAUCAACUAAGUGCUGUGGAUGAAGACCUUUAAAGGUGACUGCUACCUUGAGCUACAUAUAAAAAACAAUUCCAAGUGGAUUAUGGAUUUCAACAUAAAUAGGUUUCAAGUUAAGGUUUCAAACCUUAAACCUUCUAGAAAAAAGCAGGACUUUAAAAUAGGAUAGGAUUUCUUAAAGUACAAAAAUACAAACAGUAUAGAAUUUUGAUAUAUUUGAUCUUGAAAGACUUAUAAAUUUAAUUUCAUUAAAAUAAAUUUUAAAGAGUGACCACAAACUUGGAAAAGAUAUUUGAAGCAUAUAGUAAAUAUUUAAUAUUUGGAAAGUAUAAAAAAUAAGGAAAUACUAAGUUAAUAAUUAAAAAGUUGGUAAGAGGUAUCAAAAUAUAUAUCAUAGAGGAAAAAUGACUCAAAUAUGAAGAGCUGUUGAUUAGUAAUCAGGAAGAAAAAUAAAACAAUAAUGAUAUACUGUUUCAUAUUCACUAUAGGAAUAUAAAUUUUAUAUCAAGUGUUGAUCAGAUAUAGAGCAACAGGGAUUUACACAUUGGAUAUAGAAAUGUACAUAUUGAGUACAGUAUUUGGAAACGUUUCUGACAUUAUUUCACAAUUUUGAAGUCAUUCAGAUACAUAGUUCAAGUUCCUGGGAUGUACCUUAGAGAAAAGCUUGUCAAUGCAUAUCAAGAGACCUUUCAAGAAUUUCCUUAGUAACAACAUUUUUAAUAGUAAAGGAUUAGAAACCACUAUGGCACCCUUCAGCAGGAAAAUGGAUACACAGAUCAAUAAUUGGGUGAGAGUAAACUACUGUAGUAAAAUAUGUAGUAAAGUAUGUAGAGAAGGGUUAUUAUGCAUUCUUUGUGAUAAAUUUCAUAGUGUUGAGCUGAAAAAGCAAAGAUACCAUGCCUUUGAAGCUGGAAGUUGUGAAGCUUCAUUGAGAGGUACGGAUGGCCAUGUGUGGAGGAAUGGCUGCAGACUGAUGAGAAUUCCCUCCAGGAGGUAGUAGUGGAGGUGGGCACAAAAGAGACAUGGAACAUUGUCAUUGUGUCUUCCAAAGCUGGCUGGUGGCUGCACAGGGAUGUUGUGAGAGAAUCUUUCUGUACACUAUGAAGAUGUGUCUCUGCCAAGGCAUCUUAUGAUUGGUUUUAAAAAAGCUGACCAGCCAAGAGCUGGGCAGGAGAGGACAGGUGGGACUUGUGGACAGAGGUAGGAACUCUGGGAAGAAGAAAGAUGGGAUUUGCUAGCCAGACACAGAGGAAGUGGUAUAUACCAUAUUGAUGAGAGGUGAUGAGCCAUGUGGCAGAAUGUAGAUUAAUAUAAAUGGGUUAAUUUAAGUUUUAAGAGCUAGUUGAGAACAGGCCCAAGCUAAGGCCACACUUUCAUAUUUAAUAAGAAGUCUCCAUAUCAUUAUUUGGGCUGGUGGUCCAAAGAAAGUCUGACUGCACAGGUACUUGUUUUAUGAUUGUUGUUUAGAAUGUUCAUAUAUAUUCUCUUUUCUACUGUAUUGCUUAACAAUGAUGUAGUAAAUCAGUGGAGUACUGGAGUGCCACUGAACACAUGCGAGUAUUUCCCCCAUGUGGAGUGUAGGUGAGAGGCAGGAGCUGGACCCACAAUGGGUUACAACUGAUCUUUGAAAGGCAAAAGGGUUAUAAUGAGAGAAAGGGACAGAAAGUUCUACUUGGGAAGUAUGGGAGGAAAGACAUAAAUGGGUGAAAUGGCACUGAUGCCCCCUGAACAACAAUGAUUGGAGUAUAAACAGGGGCUAGAGUGGCAGAGAAGGGUGGGGAUUUCAUUUAGGGAAGUAGGGAUAACCUUCCUUCCCUUCUUUUCAUCCAAAUUUGGGAACAUAUCUGGAUCACCACCUGCAGGUAAAGGCAGGUUGGUAAAGACUUGGGGAUGCAAGAAACUUAGUACACCUGGGACUUAGAAACAUAAUUUUGGUAGUUAUCUGAGUAAGAAUGGGAGAAAUUAGAGGCGAUAAUAUUACUUUAGGCUUACAAAGAUGAUGGUUUGUACUAUGGCAGAGACAAUGGAGUGAAAGGGAUAAUGCAUGAUUUAGGAUCUCACCCAGGUCCAAAUGUAUGUCCAUUUCCAAAAAGACGCCAGAUGAAGGGAGACAUCUUGGUUUCCUUCAGGCCAGUUCCUGUUCAAGACUGAACACACUCAUGAACUUGGCAGCUAAUUGUAGGCGUUGGUUCAGAGGAUUGUCCCCAGUUCCCUUUAAUGUAGGACAUGUCUCUCAGUUUUUUAUUGCCUUCUUUGGAACUAGGGAACCACAUUUGAAAUGAACUCUGUCCAAAAUGUAUCAAUCCAUUUUGCUUACUUCCAUCUGACCUGUCUCUCUGAGCUGUCAUUUUCUCAAGGUCUUAAAUGGAAUUAACAUUAACAUGAAUAAAUUGAAGAGUCUCUUGUUUUUUGCAAGAAGCUGAAGCUGCUGACAACAUCCCAGAGACUGGUGGGAAACUCAUCCUUUUGGCAGAUAAUUACACAAGGAUACAAGAUGCUGACAUAUAUAGAAAGAGCUGGUGGCUGGUUUGAAAUAGAAGAUAAGUGCAUCGAACAUCCAACAGUUGGACCUUCACGUUAGGUAGUAAAGGAGUAUCAGUCAAUAGCGCUGCAUCUCCAAGCCUGUCUGUGUUCUGUGUGAUACUGGAACAAACAGAGGUGACAGAUCCCAAUAUGAAGAAGAGCUUAUUGGAAAUCAUGCAUCCUGUCAAGUUGAACCAUUCAGAAGUCUGAUGUAGGAGUGACCUUUUUAUCCUGGAGUGCCACUCCAACACAAUAGGGAACAGGAGGACACAGCACAGGGACAGAAGGGGACUGAAUCUGUGGAUGGUGACUGUCUGCAAGAGCAAUAUUCCUGGGGUACAGCAACAAAGAAGAAAGGGGCAGGGCCUUCGAUGAAUUUAACACUAGAGAAUCCAGCUUCAACUGCAGGAUGGCAAAUGCUGUUUCUUAUGGAAUCUAAAAGUCUUCUAGAAGCCGAGGGUAAGAAUGGCAGGAACCAGAGGCUUGGGAGGGGGUAGAGGAGACACUUUAGAGGGCACAGAAGUAGAAUUAGAUGACAGGAGGAAUAUAUUCAAGAGACUGUAGCUCAUGGCAAUAUAUUCAACUUAAAAAUGCAAAUGGGGGGUGAGCAUUCUCAUAAAGCUAUCUGCCAUGGAAAGUAAUGUUGAUUAGCUAUAUUUAAUUGCUAUCCAAUGUGUAUAUACCUAGAAUAUCAUGUUGCGUAUAAUAAAUGUGAGAUUCAAUGCCAGCCUCCAAAUCGUGCUUGGACCAGGACCAAGGGGUGUUUAACAUCCAUUUGUGACUUAAAAAUUUGUGUAGGUGAAGUGGGCAAAUGGAGAGACCAUCAAAAGAGCUCUGGGUGUGAAGCAGCUGGCUAAACCCUGCUAUGGGGACAGUUUUAAUUUGCUCUCAGAUGGAGAUGAUGGCUUGUUAUAAAAGAGGAAAGUACACCUACAAGCCUCUUCUCAUUGAAGAGGGUAGGAAAUGUGUUCUCAGAUCAGAGCCCUGCAAACUUUUCCACUCUUUUCAGUAGGCACACCUUCCUAACCCCAUGAAUAAUUAAAAUGCAAAGACUCUC